GUCUCUGUGGUGCAGUAGGCUAGCGAGUUCGGCUGUUAACUGAAAGGUUGGUGGUUCGACCCCACGAACUUGGGAAG